UCAUCAUUAUAAGCAUAUUAAUUCAUGCUUAGUUUUCUGAUGCCAUCAGAGCUGUUCACAUCGGAUUUAAGUGGAGGCAUAAAUAUGAAAAAAUUCAUACUUUUGCUGUUAGUGAUAUUUUUCGGCAACGUCAGCACUACGGGCGCACAUCAAAAACGUAGAGAGGAAUAUGAAAGAGUUUCUCAAGAAAUAGAACAGGAAAUUAUAGCCAAGGACGUCGAAUUAGAGAAACUAGAUUUCCAAAUAAAAGAAACAGAAGCAAAUAUGAAUAAUAAUUUUAUGUCCAUGAUUGAUAAAGUUCUAAAUGAAGAUUCUACAAAAAUUUCAGAUCAGGAAGAAAAACUAAAACAACUAGAGGCGUUAAAAUCAGAAAAUAUAAGUCUUAAACACAAAUGUGACAAUUUAGAAUCAAUUCUAGGGGCGGAAGAAAAUGAAAAACAAAAAUUAAAUGAUCAUAUUAAAAGACUUGAGAAUGAUAAAAAAAUAAUAAUACAAAACUAUGAGAAUAUCGAAAACAGUAGGCGCCAAUACCUUUUUUGGUACUCAUAGUUAAAUGUAUUAAAAUUUUAUCUAAAACUCUGCUACAAGUCGAAACAUCAAUCUCAGCAGCAAUGAAAACCGAUCCACAAUCAAGAAGAUGCCCAUACAGGAACGGACAGUCCCAGGUUCCACCCAAUUAAAGGCAGCGGCCAUAUGGAUGAAUGGAAAGCAAAAUAACAUAAAUGAUACGCUCGCACUCUAGACCAUAAAAGCCACACACAUACAACGCAAUCCCCGGGACCCCUGGAUUAAAUCAAGAUGAUACCAUCAUAUCCGACCAGAAAAAGCCACUUGGUGACACUGACGUGACGUGUGGUCGGCUCAGUGAGGAAUCUUGGGCAGAGCUGGGAAUCUGGAUCUGUAUCGAAAUGGGAGUCAGACUCAAAACUCCAUGGCUCUGAGUUAUGAAACACUUUCAGCAUUCGAAAGCCGGGGGCUGUGUGGAGAAAACUCCGAGCUGAGAGGAAAAAGUCGUGCAAUAAAUAAAACACUUUAAAAGUGCACUUAAGAUAACAACAAAGGCCAAACAACUGGGAAGUCAAAAAACGAGACCCAAGAAGUGUGAGAUGAGAUGCGUUAUGUACUCUGUAUAAUAUAAUAUGUGGGUCAACUAAAAGCAAACUAGUUGUCUUGGCGUUUUCAUAGGGAUGGAUGGAUAUUCCAGAAAAAAGACAUCAACCACCAGUUUCAAUGCCAGACAGAAUCAAUAAAUUGCAGAAAAUAC